AUGAGACAACCCCUUGUUGCUGGAAACAGGUCUUUCACAAGCGUCGACCAGAGUCUAAAACUAAACUGUUUCAUCAUGGACUUCGAUCUGAGCGAAGCUGUUGGAGAUGAUGAGGUGAAGAAGUCGGACGGCAAACAGGUGGAAGGGAUAUUUGGGCUUGGAAAGAAGGAUAAAGACAAAGGAAAGCGCAAAGACAAGAGUCAUGAUAAGGAUAAACACAAAGAACACAAAGAUAAAGAACAUAAGCACAAAGAUAAGGAACAUAAAGGCAAAGACAAGAAGAAGAAGAAGGACAAGGAACACAAGAAGAAGAGCGGUGGCAAGUCCUCGUCUUCCUCCAGCGAUUCGGACUGAAGCAAGACUGAAGGUCCAUCAGAUACCUCCGGAACCAUAAUGUAAUAAAAUUAUUAUAUGAUUUUUAUAAAUGCAAUCAAUCUCCAGAAGUUUUCAUUAAGUUAUUGAGCUGUAAUUUCAAACUUCCACAAGGUGGCGCUACUUACAUGUCAAAUCUCCAAUGAAACACUUCUAAAGAGCACUAUCAGCUAUUUUUGUAAAACUGUUUGCUGGUUUAAUAAAUUCUGAUGUUUGAAAUAUAUAUAUAUAUAUAUAGUCUCAUAUUAACUUUCGGUGGUUGCUGGUUAGAGAACUAUUAGUGCUUUUAUAAAUCUUGGCCGGUUUGAUGCACAAAUACAAGCCAUAUUUGAAUAAAUGUAUGUGUUUAGCAAUCAUUCAUCAAGCAUUCAACACAAAUUAAUUGAUAUAUAUUGUCAGAACCAUGCAUUAUCUAGUAAAUUAGGUUAAUUCUCCAUGAUUUUCACCAUGACCAAUCAACUCUUAGUAGUAUCUUUUUCUAAACAGCACGCUUAUGCAAAUGCAUGGUUGAUUUUGAAGGUUUCAGCACAGAUCUGUCUUGUUUGAGCACGAUUUGUUUGCUAAUUCAUCUAUGUUUGAGCACGGCACAGAUAAUUAAUCUGAAUCGCAGGCUGCUUCCAAACACUGUUUUGGAUGUUUAUUGCUGAGCUGAAGACAACUGCAAGCCAGAGAUAAGAGAAGAGGGCGAUAUUUCUCUCUGUCCAUCAGACUGUGACAGUCUUUCUCUCUUAUUCUGUGCCAAAUGCACCAUGGUGCAAUUAUUUUUCAUCCACCCCCCGUCAAUCUUUCACAUGCAUAUUUCAUCAAAAGCACUGAAGAUGCUGAAAGGAGGAAUUUGGCUUGUUUCGUCCGUUUGUGAUGUUUGGUGCGGUCGGGUCAGAGAUCUGAACAUCAGCAGAAACCUCUGCACGUUUCCCACAGAAGAGGGAUGUACAUGCAAAUAAGUUUGAUUUAGUGAGGAGUGUGUGAGGAGUCAUUAUUAUAUUGCAAGUUAUGGGUGUAUUUUGAGAACAGUGUAAAAUAAAUAAGUAAUGUACUAUAACAGUAGGAAAAUAGAAGAGUAAAUAAUAAAAGGAAAGCAAUUCUUUUUUGUAAAAAUGUAGUCAUUAUGUUUACGUUAUUUAUUAUUUUAUUUUUUGAACUUUAUUUGCAGUAUUUUUUCUAUGUAUUUAUUUGUUCAUACAUUUUUUUUUACACCUAUUAGACUUUUUUUUUCAUAUUUUCUUCAUUUUUAAAUCUAUUUGCAAUGAAAUUACUUUGUUUUAUUUACAUUUUUAUAUUUUUUAUAUCACAAUUUAUUGUUAUAUUUAUUAAUUUCCUGAAAUUUACAUAUUUAUUUUAAUUAAAUUUAGUCAUUUAUUUUAUUACUUAUUUCCUUUAUUAUUUUCUAUAUUUACUUUUAAUUUAUUUCAGUUUUUAACUUUUCUGUUCUUUUAUUUGUACAUAAUUGUACCCUUAUAGUUUAUUUCCACAUGUAAUUAAAUCAAGAUUAAUUUAUACAUUUGGUUUUUUUAUAAAAAAAAAAUAGAAAUGCUAUUUUAACAUAGAUAGUAACAGUAUGUGUGUUUGGAUUGUUCUGGAUAACAGACAGGUGUUUUAUUGAGUCUAUCUCUAAACAGGUUUAUUGAUCAGUUAGUUUAUUGAAUGUGUAACUAUCUAAUUAGGAGUGUAAUGACUGUACAAUACUGAAAACUAUAAUAUAAUGCAUCUACAGGAAAAUUAAGAACAUUUUAUUAUUUUUACUUAUUCUCACAAAUAUAGUAUAACUUGUUUGUAUGGUGUACAAAAUAAAUAUGAUAUACGAUAUAAUAUAAACGCGUAAACCUCUUGAAAGGACACUUUAAAAACUGCCUCAUUACAAAAACUGGUUUAUAAAUGAGCCAAAUAAUGCCACAAUUAAAAUGUUAAAAUCUUUGUUUAAAAAUAUAAAUCCGUUUAUCUAAAAACACUAAAAGUCAUUCAAUAGAUGGAAACAAUUUUCUUCUUUUCCCGUCUGUUCACUUUCGUGUCAUUCCUGCGCGCACCUGACGCGCGGUCACACCGGGGCGCGGCGCCGCAGUGCGUGAGCGCGUGCGCGCGCGCUGUCACCUUUUCGCGCCAGAGGAGGGCACAGUUACCUCGCGCGUGGACUGGCGUCAGCGGUCUCCAGGCAACAGGCCAUCCGUAAGUCAGUCAGGUUUCUCAGUCGGAGCGGAGAGAGGCGGCAGCGGCGUCGGUCAUGGCCCUCUCACGGAUCCGGUGCUCGUUUGUAUGGUUCACCGUAAACGGCGUGUGAACACACCUCUGUAUUGUGCUGAAGAACUGAACCGGACGCGUUCACGCGGAUCCCGACGCGAACGAGUACUCUGAGGGGAUUUUACGCGCCGAUUUAAUUUCACUAGUUUUUUAGUUUUACAUGUAACAUUAAUCGUUGAAAUAUAUAUAAAAAAUGCUUUUGAUUUUAUUAAUGUGUUUGAUUUUAAGAGACAAUUACUUUUCCACCCCCAAACUACUGGAGAAAAUCUGACUGACUUUGAACUUCAUAACGC
rnacentral:lncRNA from 1 species